UCGAAUUGAAGGCUGAAAUUCGCCUUCAUGAAGUCGGAAUUGCUAGUAAAUGGCAGGUCAGCAUACUGCCGUGAAUACGUUCCCGGGCCUUGUACACACCGCCCGUCACACCAUGAGAGUUGGAGAUACCCGAAGCCUGUGAGCUAACUUUUAGAGGCAGCAGUCGAAGGUAGAAUCAAUGAUUGGGGUGAAGUCGUAACAAGGUAUC
rnacentral:rRNA from 1 species